UGGGGAAUAUUGGACAAUGGGCGAAAGCCUGAUCCAGCCAUGCCGCGUGUGUGAAGAAGGCCUUUCGGUUAUAAAGCACUUUAAGCGAGGAGGAGGCUACUUAGAUUAAUACCCUAGGAUAGUGGACGUUACUCGCAGAAUAAGCACCGGCUAACUCUGUGCCAGCAGCCGCGGUAAUACAGAGGGUGCGAGCGUUAAUCGGAUUUACUGGGCGUAAAGCGUGCGUAGGCGGCUUCUUAAGUCGGAUGUGAAAUCCCUGAGCUUAACUUAGGAAUUGCAUUCGAUACUGGGAAGCUAGAGUAUGGGAGAGGAUGGUAGAAUUCCAGGUGUAGCGGUGAAAUGCGUAGAGAUCUGGAGGAAUACCGAUGGCGAAGGCAGCCAUCUGGCCUAAUACUGACGCUGAGGUACGAAAGCAUGGGGAGCAAACAGG
rnacentral:rRNA from 1 species